AACCACUAUCUUCUCUGCCCU
rnacentral:miRNA from 1 species